AAAUUGAAGAGUUUGAUCAUGGCUCAGAUUGAACGCUGGCGGCAGGCCUAACACAUGCAAGUCGAGCGGUAGCACAGAGAGCUUGCUCUCGGGUGACGAGCGGCGGACGGGUGAGUAAUGUCUGGGAAACUGCCUGAUGGAGGGGGAUAACUACUGGAAACGGUAGCUAAUACCGCAUAAUGUCGCAAGACCAAAGUGGGGGACCUUCGGGCCUCAUGCCAUCAGAUGUGCCCAGAUGGGAUUAGCUAGUAGGUGGGGUAACGGCUCACCUAGGCGACGAUCCCUAGCUGGUCUGAGAGGAUGACCAGCCACACUGGAACUGAGACACGGUCCAGACUCCUACGGGAGGCAGCAGUGGGGAAUAUUGCACAAUGGGCGCAAGCCUGAUGCAGCCAUGCCGCGUGUGUGAAGAAGGCCUUCGGGUUGUAAAGCACUUUCAGCGGGGAGGAAGGCGUUAAGGUUAAUAACCUUGUCGAUUGACGUUACCCGCAGAAGAAGCACCGGCUAACUCCGUGCCAGCAGCCGCGGUAAUACGGAGGGUGCAAGCGUUAAUCGGAAUUACUGGGCGUAAAGCGCACGCAGGCGGUCUGUCAAGUCGGAUGUGAAAUCCCCGGGCUCAACCUGGGAACUGCAUUCGAAACUGGCAGGCUAGAGUCUUGUAGAGGGGGGUAGAAUUCCAGGUGUAGCGGUGAAAUGCGUAGAGAUCUGGAGGAAUACCGGUGGCGAAGGCGGCCCCCUGGACAAAGACUGACGCUCAGGUGCGAAAGCGUGGGGAGCAAACAGGAUUAGAUACCCUGGUAGUCCACGCCGUAAACGAUGUCGAUUUGGAGGUUGUGCCCUUGAGGCGUGGCUUCCGGAGCUAACGCGUUAAAUCGACCGCCUGGGGAGUACGGCCGCAAGGUUAAAACUCAAAUGAAUUGACGGGGGCCCGCACAAGCGGUGGAGCAUGUGGUUUAAUUCGAUGCAACGCGAAGAACCUUACCUGGUCUUGACAUCCACAGAACUUUCCAGAGAUGGAUUGGUGCCUUCGGGAACUGUGAGACAGGUGCUGCAUGGCUGUCGUCAGCUCGUGUUGUGAAAUGUUGGGUUAAGUCCCGCAACGAGCGCAACCCUUAUCCUUUGUUGCCAGCGGUUCGGCCGGGAACUCAAAGGAGACUGCCAGUGAUAAACUGGAGGAAGGUGGGGAUGACGUCAAGUCAUCAUGGCCCUUACGACCAGGGCUACACACGUGCUACAAUGGCAUAUACAAAGAGAAGCGACCUCGCGAGAGCAAGCGGACCUCAUAAAGUAUGUCGUAGUCCGGAUUGGAGUCUGCAACUCGACUCCAUGAAGUCGGAAUCGCUAGUAAUCGUAGAUCAGAAUGCUACGGUGAAUACGUUCCCGGGCCUUGUACACACCGCCCGUCACACCAUGGGAGUGGGUUGCAAAAGAAGUAGGUAGCUUAACCUUCGGGAGGGCGCUUACCACUUUGUGAUUCAUGACUGGGGUGAAGUCGUAACAAGGUAACCGUAGGGGAACCUGCGGUUGGAUCACCUCCUUACCUUAAAGAA
rnacentral:rRNA from 1 species